CCGAAGUUUCCCUCAGGAUAGCUGGUGCUCGCAAAGAGAACAAACGGAGUUUCAUCCGGUAAAGCGAAUGAUUAGACCUUGGGGUCGAAACGACCUCAACCUAUUCUCAAACUUUCAAUGGGUGAGACGCCCGGCCUGCAUUUCUUGAUUGAGGCCGCGGCAAUAAUUUUAUUUUGAAUCUGAGCGCCCAGUGGGCCAUUUUUGGUAAGCAGAACUGGCGCUGUGGGAUGAACCAAACGCCCGGUUACGGCGCCUAAACGACGCACAUUUCGGACCCCACGAAAAGGAGUUGGUUGCUAAAGACAGCAGGACGGUGGCCAUGGAGGUCGGAAUCCGCUCAGGAGUGUGUAACAACUCACCUGCCGAAGCAACUAGCCCUUAAAAUGGGAGGCGCUAUAGCGUCGUGCCUAUACCGGGCCGUCGGUCGGCAGUGCGAAUAACGUCCGUGUCAGCUCGCAGAGAGCGACGGCGAUGAGGCCCCCUACGAGUAGGGGGGUCGCGACGGUGAAGCGUUGAAGGGUUGUGGGCGUGAGCCUGCCCGGAGCCGCCGUCGGUGCAGAUCUUGGUGGUAGUAGCAAAAACUCCAGAGGGAUCCUGGAGGACUGACGCGGAGAAGGGUUUCAUGUGAACAGUGGUUGGACAUGAGUCAGUCGAUCCUAAGCCGCAGGCGAAAGCCGGCCUAGUGACGGGCGAGAUGCUAGUAUGCUCUUUUUCUUUUUUUUUGGGAGGAUUCGGCGCGCGCUUCUUUCCCUCUUUCGUUUCUAUAGUCCCUAGCCAGAUGGGUGAAAGGAAAGAAAGGAGAGUUGCGUGUUUGUUGAAAAGAACCGGAGGAGAAAAAAAAUCAUGCGAAACUGAAACGUGAGCCGCCACCAAGGUUAAGGCGAAAGGGGAUCCGGUCCUGAUUCCGGAACCGGGCUGCGGCUACGUCCGCGAUAAAACGACUUCAACCCUCGUAAUGUCACGGUCGCGGUAACGCGACACAAACGGAGAAGCUGCCGAGAACCCCGGGAAGAGUUUUCUUUUCUGCUUGAGGGACCGAGACCCUGGGAAUCCCGUCGCGGGGCGAGGGGGGUAUGGAUUUAGCUGUCAAAGGAUAUCCCGAAGAGCGUCGCGUUUCUGCGACGUCCGUGGUCGUUCUCGGCUGGUCCUUGAAAAUUCGGGGGGAGAGUUACGUUGUUGGUCGUUCGCGCCCGUUCGUACCGAUAUCCGCAUCAGCUCUCCAAGGUGAACAGCCUCUAGUCGAUGGAUGAAUGUGGGUAAGGGAAAUCGGCAAAUUGGAUCCGUAACUUCGGGAUAAGGAUUGGCACUGAGGGUCGAGGCGGGCGGGCUGAGUUUAUCAAGCGAAGCCGUCGGCGGACGUGUCAGGCCUGGGUCGAAGCUCUUCCUCACGGGAGAGCUGAGGCUCGGUCCUCGGCCAGAUCGCUGACGGUGGAGCGGCUCGGCAUCGUCUGCGCGCGUGGGCGGCGGCAACGUCGUGUGCGCGUGUCAGAUCUCGCCCCCCAUCGAACGACCAACUCAGAACUGGCACGAUCCAGGGGAAUCCGACUGUCUAAUUUAAACCAAUGCAUUGCGAUGGCCGCAAGUCGGUGCUGACGCACUGUGAAUUCCUGCCCAGUCCAAUGUGAUUUCUGCCCAGUGCUCUGAAUGUCAAAGUGAAGAAAUUUAAACGGAGCGCGGGUAAACGGCGGGAGUAACUAUGACUCUCUUUAAGGUAGCCAAAUGCCCGUCACUAAUUAGAUGACGAGGCACGAAUGGAUAAACGACAUUCCCACUGUUCCCUAUCUACUAUCUAGCGAACCCACUGCGAGGGGAACGGGCCUCGUGUUAUCAGCGGGGAUAGAAGCGCGAGGGGAACGGGCCUCGUUUUGUCAGCGGGGAAAGAAGACCCCUUUUGAGCUUGUCUCUAGUUCGGCAUUGUGGAGAGACAUGAGAGGUGUAGCAUAAGUGGGAGAUGUGGCCUUCGGGCUCAGCGACGCUGACAUACCACUCCUUUCAUGGUCGCUUCACUUACUCGGUGAAGCGGAGUGGGCGGUCGCCCGGGUGGGAUCUUUAACGGUCUCCGUCCGGGCGUCCUCGCUUGAAUUCUUGUGUUGAAGUGCAAGCCGUCCCGGCAGGGGUUGGCAGGCGAGGCGAGGUUGUCGCGGGUUUUCGCCUGUCUCGUGCAGGCGGGAGGUCGUGGUCGGCCGAGCUUUCUUAGUCUGCUUUCCAUCUCCGGGAAAAUAUUCGGUGGUGCGAUCCGGGCGGAGGACAUUGCCGGAUGGGGAGUUUGACUGGGGCGGUACAUCUGUCAAACGAUAACGCAGGUGUCCUAAGGCUGGCUCCGGGAGGAAAGAAACCUCCCGUAGAGCUAAAGGGCAAAUGCCGGCUUGAUCUCGACCGAUUUUAAGUACGAAUACGGACCGCGAAAGCGCGGCCUAUCGAUCCUUUUGGCCAUUCUGAGUUUGGAGGCAAGAGGUGUCAGAAAAGUUACCACAGGGUAACUGGCUUCUGGUGGCGGCCAAGCGCCCAUAGCGACGUUGCUUUUUGAUCCUUCGAUGUCGGCUCUUCCUAUCAUUGCGAAGCAGUAUUCGCCAAGCGUAGGAAUUGUUCACCCACCUACAGGGAACGUGAGCUGGGUUUAGACCGGCGUGAGACAGGUUAGUUUUACCCUACUGACGACCAUAGAAGAAAUGUUGUUGCGAUAGUAAUCCUGCGAGGUACGAGAGGAACCGCAGGUUCGGACAGUUGGUUGACGCACUUGGUCGAGCGGCCAGUGGUGCGAGGAUCGAUGUUGCGACAGUAAUCUUACUUAGUACGAGA
rnacentral:rRNA from 1 species